GGGACGCUGCAGAACCACGCCCACUGGCCAGCUGCGCAAAAAGCGAAGCUGGAGACUGCAGCGCGCGCAGCCGCAGCUGGACAGACACUGCGGUGUUGGAGGAGUGUCCUGCGCAAUCCCGCACUGCGGCACUCGGCACUCGCGCACUUUGCUUUCCCGCUAGGCGAGUCACCUCAGCUCUGCGCUCUUGGCUGCCUCCAAGGCCUCCAGUCUCCUUUAACCGGGAAAACCCAGGAACCGGGAAGCUAGUGUGCGGGCUUGAUCCUCCCACCUUUGCAAGCUAUGGACCUCCUGGAGUACUCGAAAGGAGAUCGUUGGGUCCUCGGAUUGUUGACACCCGUCCUCCCAAGCUGAUAAGCCCAGGACUCUGGGAGGGGAUGUUAGGACUCCUGUGUGGCGCCUUGCUGUGAACCCCUUCCCAAGGGCUUGCUUUCCUGAUGGGCCUUUGCGCAAGGCCCUCUUGACACCAAGGAUGUUGACGAUGAAGGUUCUGGGGCAGCCAGCGCCACUCCCCCUAUUCUCCGCACUCACUGGUGGAUGCCACUGUCCAGGAAGCAAGUAUCCCGAAUUGACAGCUUGGUGCAGAAGGAUAGAGGUGUCUCUAUCCUGCGAGGAAGCAGCUGGACCACAGCGCUCCCAAGGAGCGUACUACUCAACAUCCGUGUGGCAAGACCAGAGAACAUGAUCGUCUCGCCGUGACCGCUGGCUGGGGUCUUAUCCAGGUGACCAGGAAAACCAAGGUUGCUGCGGUCAACAUGCCUCCAGACCUUGUCGCCAUCAGCUCGCUGUCUAGGAACGCCUUUUUACUUUGGUAGGUAUGCAGAAGGAAGGGCCUUGACUCUGGAGACUUGGGGACCAAAGUUAGAGACUAGAUAGGUCUGCCCCUCCCCUUAGAGAGAGCCACAGAAUGCCAUGUGGCACUGAGGUCCUUGCUCUCACAAAUAAGCACUCGGGAAACCAGCAAUAUUAAACACGCAGGGUUGUCUCUUCAAAGGGAGAGACAUAUAUCCUGUUUUCCUCCCAGAAGGCUGGGAGCGGAGGUGUUUAAUAUCCUGGCGAACUUUGUGCUAUCUGUAUGACCAAGACCAUGCCAGGUUCUCCCCUAGAACCUUAAGAUAUCAUUAUAAUCUGUCAGCUAGGAGGGUGGUGGUACAUGCCUUUACUUCCAGUAUUCUGGUGGCAAAGGCAGGUGGGUCUCUGCAUUCCUCCCCUAAACCCUUAAGAUGUCAUAUGUAAUCAGUCACCUGGGUGGUGGUGGUGCAUGCCUUUUCUUCCAGGACUUGGGUGGCAAGGGUGGGUGAAUCUCUGAGUUCGAGGCCAGCCUGGUCUACAGAGUGAGUCCAGGUCAGCCAGAACUACACAGAGAAACCUUUGUCUCAAAAAACAAAACAAAAAAAAAAAUAAAUAAUUUUUAAAAAGGUGUCACGUGUAGUCAAUCAUCUUUAUGGAAAAUGUCACCUGUACUUUACAGAUGUAGCCAUGACUUAAGCUUUUUUAUGUUGAUCUACCUGGUAUCAGACUCUUGAAGUUUGAACCAACACUUAGCCGGGCGAUGGUGGCGCACGCCUUUAAUCCCAGCACUUGGGAGGCAGAGACAGGUGAAUCUUUGAGUUAGAGGCUAGCCUGGUCUACAGAGUGAGUCCAGGACAGCCAGGAUUACACAGAGAAACCCUGUCUCAAACAUUUAAUUAAGUAAAGUAAACUAAAGUAAUAAAAACACUUGAACCAACGCUGGCUAAUGAAUCAUGUUGAGCCAGAUUGCUUUUUUUUUUAACCUUCCUUGGGUUAUCACCCGGGCUGGUUGAGGUGCCUGCGGGGACCCUCAUGAUGGCGACCAACAUGAGGGGCUCCAGUCUUGGAGACGGUAAGAGACUUUUUCUUUAAAUAGAAUCAAGGGUCACCCAGGAGCAGUGCACACACACCCUCACCCGGAAGGUCACAGGUGAGUGGGAAGAUGAAUUAUGCCUGGGUUCUUCCCAGUCCUGAGACAAAGCAGUUUCUACAAUUACUGAGCUGUUGGUUAAGAUCCAGAGGGGGGAACUAGAGCAACAGCAGUGCAGCUCAGAGCAAGUGUCAGUCAGAUUCAGUCCUUGGUUUCCUGAAAAAGAAACGAUUGAUGCUGAAAAUUGGAAAUGCAGCCAGGUGGUGGUGACGGUCUAUAGAGAAAGUGCCAGGACUACUUAGAGAAACCCUGUCUUGAAAACAAAAACAAAAAAGCAAAAAAGAAAAGAAAAACAGAAAAGAAAAUUGGAAAUGCAUAGGAGUCAGUGUCAAUUGGGCCUGUGAAAGAUGAGAUAAAAUGCGUGCCAAUUAUCUUGCUAGCUGGAGUCCUUGUAUUGUUGUUUGGCUCACACCAUCUGGGGCAACCACUCCGGAGGGAGGAUCGUUAAAAUAAGGUUUUUGUUUUCCCUGCAGGCCGUGUGGACUCUGCCACCGAAGGAUGCUCAGCCAGGAUUGUUCAGGGCUUUUAACCGGCUGGUUCCCCCUCCUUCAUUGUCUUGGUCACGCUGCUUCAUUGUUUUCACUGUCUCGGUCUGUCUAGUCAUGUCCUCACAGCCUUAGCAAAAUAAUCAAUUUUAUCUUGUCCUUUCCAUAAAAAAAAAAAAAAAAAAAAAAAAAAAAUGGUGUUUUUAUUACUUCAAGCCUUUGAGGCAUCAAGAGACCAAACCCCACCCAGAUUCCUUUGCAUUUAUGAUUACUAAAAUUUCAUGUCUUAAAUUUGUAUCUUUGUACAACAGAAAAAAAAUUUAAAAGCAAUGUAAUCAAACUUAACAUGGAUUUAAAAAAAAAUAGGUGCAAAUUGGAACCAAGAAAGAAUAUUUCUUCUGGAUAAUACAGUGGCCAAGGACUGAAAAGCAGAAGUGUAGUCCAUAGGAGUUAGAUUAUUUGAAAGUUUUCACCUAGAAUUAUUUUGGGUACAGUCUGAGAAUAUGUGGAGUAUAGUAAGAACUAGAGCCUUCCAGAAAGUUCUUCUUCCAUGGAAAUGUUAUGCUUUGAUGCUAUUCACAUGUUUGUUUUGCUUGCAGUAUCAGCCGGAUAUGUUCUUUCAUGCUCUCAUGGGACAACCCUGUUGUUUCCCGCUUUGGGAUGGUCUGUGAUUGUUCCUCAGGUACUUUGGAAUCUCCUGUUAACCUGAUAGGAGAGUCUUCUUGAACUCAAAAUUCAAAAUGCCCUAAAUUUUAAAGAUCCUAAAUCUUACAUAAAUAACCUUAGGUUUAAAUCCUUCAAAGUUAACGUGAAUUAAGUAGGUUUUGCUUGUGGUUUUUGGUUUUGUGCUUGCCCUUGGUCUGACAUAAAGGAGCAGACGCUUGACAAGGGAAGAAGUUAGGGGAGGCUCAAGCGCCUCCUUCUGUUCAAGGCUCACAUUCCACAGUAUUCCAAGCUUCUCGUGCAUAUUAGUAGUGAGUGGUUUUUCACCUCAGCGUGACAUCUACAACUGGAGCGUUCUGUGUCUGGGGCCUUCUCUUCUGUCAAGUGUGUAGAGACCUGUGCUCUGUGUAGUCUGCGGGCAUGCAUGAUGCCUCUCCCUAACUAGACAGCGGCAGAAUACAGCCCCAGAUGUGGCCUAGAGUCCUGGGGGCUCCAGGAAAAUACCAUUCUUCAUAUCUUCCACUUGACUUUGUCAAAUAGCUUUUUACACAUUUCUUUCUAGGACUCCCAUUACAACUAAAAGCUGAUAAUUGACCUGCUUACACUAGCAAAUGCUUUAAAUUUUUUUUUGAAGUUUAUGGAGUAUUAAUCAUGUUACUGAACUCCCUUACAACUGACAGUGACAAAGUAUUGUAAAAUAACACAAUCCAAUACUUAAAUUACAAAUUUGAAUUCCCACAUCCUAUGCUACAUUUAGCUAUGCUCACUUUAAAUUUUUUUACUUUAAAAGAUAGUGCUUUUUUUCUGUUCCAAAAGCAUUUCACCGAAAGGAGACACUACCUAGAGUAUAUGUUUAAAAAAUAAAACCUAACAACUAAUCAAUGGAAAGUGCCCGAUGUCCUGCCAUCGAGGCGAGGUUAUGCUUAUGUCUUACAGAAAAUUAAAUGAAGUCCCAGGUGGGUCCUGCUGUGACACGUCGUUGGACAAGGACAGCAUCCCAGAGACCACCAGACUAUCGAGGGCUCUAAGUGAGACGACAAACCCAUCAAGAGGAGAAGUCCCAAGAGGAAGGAAGAGGAGGAAGAUGAAGGAAGAGGAAGGAAGAGGAAGGAAGAGGAAGGAAGAGGAAGGAAGAGGAAGGAAGAGGAAGCCUUUGGAGAGACUUUAACUGGUCAAGCCAAGACUUUGGGGAAACAACAAGGACAUAAUACUGCUGACCCCCGAAAUGUUGUUGCUACAUUCACUCACUGUAUUACGUGUUGAUUCUCAGCCUGUCAGUGCAGAAUCCCAAUACCUUAUGUCACGGGGGAUAAAGGGCGUACCUGUAAUAGGACACAGUAUGACGUUGUCUUGCUGUGCUAAUAAUUGUUUUUAUCCUUUGGGACCAGUUGUCUGGACAAAAGAGAGUAUACAAACAUUCAGACACAUGAAUGGGUGGCAUUUUGGUUAGACUAACAGAGCCAUUCAAAUGUAAUAAUACAGAUUUUAGCUUAAUGCAGUACUCUUUGGAAAGCUCUGAUGGUAGAAAUUAUAGUUGUGCGGAGAUGAAAAAAGGAUUAUGUGAUGUAUCUCUUGCUAAGCUUCAACCAACACCAGCUACUGAGUAGUGUUGAAUCCGACCGACCGCCUUCCUGCCUCCUGUGAAUCCUUGGUCUGUUGGCCUUGGUGGAGGAAGUGGAGGAAGUGGAGGGAGGGGAGGGCUUUGAGAGUUUAAAAGCCUUGCUUCCAGGUUAGUCCCUGCUUUAUGCUUGAUCUUCAAGGUGUGAUUUCUCAGUUCCAUGCCCCUGCUGCCACGCCUGCUGCGUGGACUCAUCUCUCUUCUGGAACCACGAGCCAAAAUAAACACUGUCUUCCUUAA